GCUGCCAUAAGGUCUCCCUGCCUCAAGGCUAAGCAGCAGGAAUUGAUGUUUGUUCCUGUCAAUUGUCAGCAAGCCCUGAGGUCUUGUCUAGAGCCCAGAGUAAAACCUUCCUGCUUCUGCAGCCUGCAGUCUAGAGCCUUUUGGUCCAGACAACAGAGCAAAAUGCCCUUCUUGUCAAAGUUAUGAGAAAGACUCCAGAGUCUCCAGGGAACCCGAGUCUUACCCUGGUAGAUGAGGUGUGAGCUGAGGCCAAACUGGAGCACAGGAUGCUUGAAUCUACUGAGAGCUGUAGUUGUAAACCUGACCCUGCUCUAAACACCACAUCAGCAGUGUAUUUCAGGCCAAAAGUUACUUGGAAGCCAUCACAGUGUUUUGUUUAGGCUGUGAUCUGAGGAUGUCGUUUGGAAAAAUUUAGAAAGAAUUAUUACAGAGUAUUGAAAUUGGCCCUUGAUUCAGCUAUGCAGUAUUUGUC